rnacentral:lncRNA from 10 species
UUAUAUAGGUAAACUGGCGUCACAGGAGUUCGUUGUACAGAUUAUUUUGUCACCUGGGUACUAAGCCUAGCACUCAAUAGUUAUUUUUUUUCUGAUCCUCUCCCUCCUCCUACCCUCAACUGUCAAGUAGGCCCCAGUGUCUGUUGUUCUUCUCUUUGUGUCCAUGAGUUCUCAUCACUUAGCUCCCACUUACAGGUGAGAACAUGCAGCUUUUGGUUUUCUGUUCCUGCAUUAGUUUGCUAAGGAUAAUGGCCUCCAGCUCCAUCCAAGGGAACCUAUCUUUUAUAAUGGGCAGUAAGCAUACCUGCCCUUUGAUCUGGAGAGAGGGAGACAUUGUUUCUAUCUUGUAAGACUGAAAGCCAACUUGCCCUUUGCUCCAGAGAGAGACCCUAUCUCUGUCUUCUAAGGCUGUUUGCUAUCCAAACAUUCUUGCAAAGCUAAUCUGGAACAAAGAGAAGAGAGUACCUCUGUGAGAUGUGCACAAAUGUGAGAGAACCACAGGUAACUGUCUCCUAAUACUGCAGUACUGGUAGCAGUUUUCUUAAUUUUAGGCUUCCUAGAGGAAGUUGUAUCUAAUGGGAGUCAUUUUUGAAAAAGGGUUAGCUAACAGAUAUUUGGGGAUAGGAGAUACAGGAAGCGAGUAUUUUAGACAGAGGAAACAGCAUGGAAAAGAAAAGCCCAGGAGGCUUUGGAGGCUGGGGAGGAGGAGGAGGCUUCAGCUGAGGUCAAAGAAGCAGGUUUAUUUUGAAGGGUCUUGUAAGCCUCGAGCUGCUGUUGGUACUUGAUCCUGAGUCCUUGAAAUGGUUUAAGCUGGGGAGUGGCAUGAUCAAAUGUGUGCUUUAAAAAGGCCACUUGGGCUGCAGCUGCAAGUGGACUGGAUUCAGCCCAAGGUUAAUUUUUUCUGCUUGGUUUCCUGUAAUCAGGUUCAGGGAGAUGGGGAUGCAUGUAUUGAAAUUCUGCCACAUGGUAGAUGGGGCUGUCUUUGAAGAUGAACAUAUUUGAGGUCAAUCUCACUGCCCCUCCUCCAAUCUCACCCUCCAGCGUUUUGAUCCAAGUGCCCACAGUUCUGAUGAAUGUCAAAGGCAAGCUUGAGGAGGGAAGAGGAAAUGAUUAGUCCUUUACACUCCAGGUCAAUUUACUAAGGAUGAAUUCUCCAAAUGAUCAGCCGGAUUUUCAAAUGGUGUCAGAAGCGGUAUCCGAAGUGGAGCUUCUAGCGACCACUAGGAGGGCUGAGUGAACACGCAAGCUACCUGCAGGACCCACUUGUCUCAGAUUUUGGAGCUCCGUGGAUUUGUGUUUUGAGCUCUCCGAGUUUCUUUGAACAAAUUUCUGAUCCAAACUGGGUUUGGAGUCGCAACAGAAACUGGACUGGGUCCAGGAAUGGAUUUGAUCCAGAAAUUAACUGGCUUGGAUCAAGUUAGAGGCCUCUUACGUCUGACUGGUAUAUUUCACCAGGUAAAGAGAGUUUUUAUGGUUCACUGAGGAUAAUCCCUUCACAAUCUGGAGCCCAAAGAUUGGAUCUUCUGAGAACAUGAGAAAAAGUUUGUCCUUGCCAUCCACACUACAGCAAAACUUUGGAGCCUUGAACCUUGGGUUCGUAAUCGCACAACUGACAAGGGCCCCUCCACACUCCUGGAACUGUACACCCAUUGGAACCCUUAAGGUAAAAGUAACCAGGAAAGUUUCUCCCCAGAAGAAGAUGGCAUCUUUUAUGUGAACAGCUUUUUCCAAGAUCACUGAUCAAGACUUCUACUAUCACAGACUCUUAUCUUUGAAUAUUUUUCCUUGUUAUGCCUCUAUGAACAAUAGAAAUGAAAAAGGGGUCUAUUAUGUGCACUUAUAGGGUAUACUUUAUUUGUGAAGGAUUUUGCAGCCAUGAAUAACCAUAUGCUUUAAUAGGUAAAAGAUGAAGGCCCAGUGUAGGUGAGAAACUUUGAUGGUACAUAUAUUGCCUCAUAAUCAGUCAAAACUCCUCAUGAAUUAAAGAGAACAUUGCCAGGAGGCCUUCAGUCCUGUAGAAGGAUAUCAUUUGUUAGGUCCUUUUUCCAUGGUUUAGAAUAAAAUAGGCAAUAAUUAGAAAUGUCACCCUCACAAUAGGCUCUACAGCAAAUUCUACUUUAAAGGCUAUCCUUACACAACAGACUUUAAAUUCUCUUGUGAAAGUUAUGCUAAAUAAUAGAAUUGGCUAAGCAGAAAAGUACCUGUGCAGCUACUGACACUUCUGGCCUAUGGAGAAAUACAUCAAAUGUAGAUUACAAAAAUUCAGUUGUAGGGGAUUAAUGAAAAGACCACUUGGUCAAGCGAGUAGACUCUUCAUCUAGCUCAUUCUUUAAUCUAUUUUAUUUGAUGUGGUUUGGUUUAUGGGGACCCUGGGUAAGGAGCAUACUCCAAACCGUUGGUAUUAUCCUCCCAAUAGUCAUAAUCAUAGUCUUUCUGGUGCUCUGUAUUCUUUCAAAGAUUUUCACUGUUCACAUGCAACCAUCUCUACAAUGUCAAAUGGUCUCUUUUCAACUGGAAUGACAAAAGCUGAAAGAAAUGUGUGACCAUGAGGACACUGUAACCUAUAAAUGAUGUACUGAGACCGGAAACCCAAAAUAUGGUAAAUGAGAGUGGCACUAAAGCCCUAAGUUUGGGUCACACUCUCACCUAGUGAGAACCUGGCCAAAAAGGGGGAAUUUUUAAAAAACAAAAUUAUGGGAAGCCGUUAUUUUGGACUUGAGCUCAUGCACUAGGCUCCAAAAAACCAAACCAGGAUAAAAUGGAGUCACUUGUGCUAAAUGUGACAUAAUCAAAUUAAGGCUUUGAGAAAGCACAUAGAUCCUAGAACAGACCAGGUUUUGUUUUUCUCCUGUAAACAGGAUGUUCCAGCAUACGGAAGCACCCUCUAUUCAGUCCUUAUUCCUUCCUUGCAAAACCCACUGUUCUAAUGUUUCCCAGUGGGUUUCAAAACCAUAUAAGUACAUUUAUGAUAGCGAUAGUAGCAUCAAUAACUAAGAUUUUGGUCAAUCUCUUAAAAUUGAGAAAAUGACCAAAAGAGGGAACUUGUUAAGGCAAACUAAAUAUGGCCUAAGAAGGACUCUGCUUCUGUAUUUGAGUCCUUGUGGAUGAACUGUGACCUAGCUUAAUAGUAAGUCAAAAUUGAAAACCUAACUUAAUAGUAUGCACCUGUAACAAUGACUAAGUGUUGGCCAAUCCCUGCGGUCAUACUUCAACCACUCGUAGACUGCUGAACAUUCAAACUGCAUUCAAAUAAGGCAAACACCAAGCUGUAACCAAUCACACUGUUUCUGUACUUCACUUCCAAUUCCUGUACAUCACUUUCCCCUUUCUGUCUAUAAAUUUGUUGUGACCACAAGGCAUCCCUGGAGUCUUGGUGAAUCUGCUGUGGUUCUGGGGGCUGCCCAAUUCAUGAAUUGUUCAUUGCUCAAUUAAACUCUUUUAAAUCUGGCUGAAGCUUUUCUUUU